rnacentral:tRNA from 1 species
GCCGACGUGGCUCAAUCGGCAGAGCACCCGCCUUGUAAGCGGGCUGGUGCGGGUUCGAGUCCCGCCGUCGGCUCCU